rnacentral:rRNA from 1 species
CCUAAAAUAUAAAGAGUCGAGCCUGACCAGUGAUAUAUAUUUAACGGCCGCGGUACUCUGACCGUGCAAAGGUAGCAUAAUCAWUUGCCUUAUAAUUGAAGGCUAGUAUGAAUGGUUUGACGAAAACAAGACUGUCUCUUUUUAAUUUUAUAAAACUUGAUUUUUAGGUGAAGAAGCCUAAAUAUAAUUGAAAGACAAGAAGACCCUAUCGAGCUUGAAAAAAUUUUAUUAAUAUAAAAUGACUAUAAAAGAUCACCUAUAAUAAAAAAUUUUAGUUGGGGCGACUAAGGAACAAACAAAGCUUCCAAUAUUUAUUAAAAGCUUUUUAGCUAGGAUCCAAAAUCUUUGAUUAAAAAAAUUAGUUACCGUAGGGAUAACAGCAUAAUCUUUUUUGAGAGUUCUUAUCGAAAAAAAGGUUUGUGACCUCGAUGUUGGACUAGAAUAUCCUAAAGGAUGCAGAAGUCUUUAAGGGUUGGUCUGUUCGACCA